AGGUUAGUAGCCAGAACUCCAACAACCGUCAGCAGCAAAAAACCAAGCAUCUGAUGGGUUUAAAAAAUUUCUCAUAGUGUAGCUAUGAGCAGAGAGACGAAGAAACUGGUGAGGAGCCAAGCGAUCUUUUUCUUUGGAAGACCACUCACACAAAACAGGGCAAAUGGUCAAAUUCUUUGUCAGCUGAAGUAUAUCAUAAUGCAGCCUAUAAAAUGUGUGAGAUUGAGUCAGAACCUAAUAGACAAAUGCU